rnacentral:rRNA from 1 species
GACGAACGCUGGCGGCGUGCUUAACACAUGCAAGUCGUACGGUAAGGCCCUUUCGGGGGUACACGAGUGGCGAACGGGUGCGUAACACGUGCGUAACCUGCCCACAACUUUGGGAUAACGCUAGGAAACUGGUGCUAAUACUGGUACUGUGCUACUGCUGCAUGGUGGGGGUUGGAAAGUUCCGGCGGUUUUGGAUGGACUCGCGGGCUAUCAGCUUGUUGGUGGGGUAGUGGCCUACCAAGGCGGCGUAGGGUAGCCGGACUGUGAGGGUGACCGGCCACAUUGGCACUGAGGGACGGCCCAGACAGCGACGGGAGGCAGCAGGGGGGAAUAUUGAACAAUGGGCGCAAGCCUGGUGCAGCAGCGCCGCGGGCGGGAUGACGGCCUUCGGGUUGAAAACCGCUUUCAGCAGGGACGAAGCUUUUUGUGACGGUACCUGCAGAAGAAGCACCGGCUAACUACGUG